ACUGGGCAUCGCAGGUAACUAAAAUAAAAUUGGGUUGCCAAAUAAAAUUAUUUAAGAAUUUUAAAAGGGACAUGAAAUCUUUUAAAUAAGACCUCAUGAGUUUGACAGAGGAUUGGAGAAGAAUAUCUAUAUAUUGUGACAGGUUGCUCAACAAUGAGCCAAUACCUGAUACGAUGUGCUUGCCUGGUGGUUGAGUUACGUUUUUAUGAAUCUUAGGCAAAAAAUAUAUU